rnacentral:tRNA from 1 species
GCCUGGGUGGCUCAGUCGGUUGAGCGUCUGACUUCAGCUCAGGUCACAAUCUCACAGUCCGCUGAGUUCGAGUCCUGUGUCAGGCU